GACGAACGCUGGCGGCGUGCUUAACACAUGCAAGUCGAACGGAAAGGCCCUGCUUUUGUGGGGUGCUCGAGUGGCGAACGGGCGAGUAACACGUGAGUAACCUGCCCUUGACUUUGGGAUAACUUCAGGAAACUGGGGCUAAUACCGGAUAGGAGCUCCUGCUGCAUGGUGGGGGUUGGAACGUUUCGGCGGUUGGGGCUGGACUCGCGGCUUAUCAGCUAGUUGGUGGGGGAGUGGCUUACCAAGGCUUUGACGGGUAGCCGGCCUGGGAGGGUGACCGGCCACAUUGGGACUGAGAUACGGCCCAGACUCCUACGGUAGGCAGCAGUGGGGAAUAUGGCACAAUGGGCGGAAGCCUGAUGCAGCAACGCCGCGUGCGGGAUGACGGCCUUCGGGUUGUAAACCGCUUUCGCCUGUGACGAAGCGUGAGUGGCGGUAAUGGGUAAAGAAGCACCGGCUAACUACGUG
rnacentral:rRNA from 1 species